AGUUGAAAUUGCCUUAUCGCUUGAAUUUUUAUUUAAGAGGAAAGUCCGGACAACAAAGAGCGCCAUACUUCCUAACAGGAAGAACUUUUAAAGUUAGAUAGUGCCACAGAAAAUAACCGCCAUUUAAUGGUAAGGGUGAAAAUGUGAGGUAAGAGCUCACAAAAUUUAAUAGUGAUAUUAAAUUUGGGUAAACCUUAUGGGUUGAAAGAUCAAAUAUACUGAGAUGUGUUUUUAACAGCACGCGGAGUUGCUCACUUUACUCAGGGGGUAGAUCGAUUGAGUUUAUUAGUGAUAAUAAACCUAGAUAAAUGAUAGGGACUCGAGAAGAGUACAGAAUCCGGCUUAUAGAUUUUAACUAUUU
rnacentral:RNase_P_RNA from 1 species